CAAGUCGAACGAAUCUUCUUCGGAAGAUGAGUGGCGAACGGGUGAGUAAUACAUAGGUAACCUGCCCCUGUGCGGGGGAUAACAGUUGGAAACGGCUGCUAAUACCGCAUAAGCGCACAGUACCGCAUGGUACAGUGUGAAAAACUCCGGUGGUACAGGAUGGGCCCGCAUCUGAUUAGCUUGUUGGUGAGGUAACGGCUCACCAAGGCGACGAUCAGUAGCCGGCCUGAGAGGGUGAACGGCCACAUUGGGACUGAGACACGGCCCAAACUCC
rnacentral:rRNA from 1 species